UCCAUAACGGAUGAAAUCAAUUAGCAGUUUAGCACCACCAUUACUCCCUUUAUUUCGAACCAAAAUAACCAAACCAUGUCCCCAUGCGUUACCAAAAUAGAAGAUACCCAUUAAUAACACCAUUAUUUCUUCUUACCAAUCACGUUCGAUUGCAUAAACCUCCCCAAAUAUUUCUUCUUACCAAUCACGUUCGACUGCAUAAACCUCCCCAAAAGUUAUCUUGCACAGGUUCUCAAUGGUUACCAAUCUCCUUUCUUAAGUUUCCGUGAUUUUGGUAUUGGAGAUGUGUGCUUUUCUCAACAUGGGUUUUGAUUGUUUAUCUAUACAAAGAAGGAUGUCCUAAUUUGGGUGUUUCUGCACUUAUCAAGAGCAACAACAACCUAGAAUCAUCAUCAGCAGAAAAAUGAAAAUGAGAUUUCUCGGAAACUCAUCUAAGAAUGCCGAUGUGGCAGCAUAAUGUUAUAUCUUCCUCUCUCAAGAGUAUGUAUGGCCGCAAGGUGAGUUUGUAUGUUAUCCGACCUAUGAUUACUUAAUGCGAAGGUAUGUAAUUUAUUUUGAACCCAACUACUACUUUAAACUGCCGCAUUUAUAUGUUUCUGAGUGAUUCUUUCAUUUUGUAGUGUUCACAGAAUUGUUAAUCUGCAUCAUUUAUACAAAACGCAUAAAAACCAAACAUACAAAUUCUGUCUUAUGUACAUUUAUACCUCAUUGUUGUAUAAGCUCAAUGAAAAGUUAUUUUAAGCCACAGAACUAAUUUGUGUGUGUGUUUUGUCAUUUGGUACACUGGCAUGAGGCAUCACAAGGUAGUGGAAAUUUAAUUAUGAUGAAAGGGCUUGAAAAAAGAGGCUCAUCAGGAAAUUUCGGAAGUUGGGGCAACUUUUAUACUACACUUGGUGGUGCUACAGAAAUCAACGGAAACCUUACAGUUGGAAGAGAUAGUUAAACCGCCAGUGAAGAUGAUCCAGAUGUUUUUCUUAAAUUGAGUAGGUUCAGGCAUAUAAUGUUCAAGACCAAGAUGUGGUCGGCAUUCUUACCACCAGCUUGACAACUCUACAAAAUUUAAGAGAGCAAAUGGGCAAUGAUCCAUAAUGCGCGACCUAACUCUCAAGAACCUGAGCGGUGUUAAUGUGAAAAUUACUGUGUGGGUGACUCGACGAGCGAGCUAAGCUGGAACUUGGACCAACAUGGUGUUGCGUAUGCACCGAUUGUGGUUGUGGUAACGGGUACCUACAUAAAGAAAAUAUUAAGGAAAAUUAUCUUUGUCAUCAACUAAUUCCACCAAGAUCUACUUGAACAUAGAGCUUCCUGAAGUGACGGAUAUGCGCGCGGCAAAGGUGCUGCCAAAAAACACUACCCAUCAGAUAACUACCUACCAAAAGAUGGAUUCGUCACUCCGGCAUUUUUGCUAUUCCCCACUGCGGCAUUUUUGAAAAGAUAGUCACUCAUGUUAAACUAAUGUGUAAGAUAGGUGCUACCAAAAAACACCAUCCAUCAGAUAACUACCUACCAAAAGAGGGAUUCGCCACUGCGGCAUUUUUGCUACUUGGCAACCGAAAGAGAAUUUCUGAACUAAUGGCGGCCAAAUGGCCAAAUGGAAUGCCGGGUGUAACAUGAUGGUUGUGCAACCGCUAAAUCGUAAUCGGCUUAUGACAGAUGAUGGUUGGUACUAUUGGAAAUGUGGCAAUCGCACAACAAAAUUAGUUGGAGAAGAGGGUGAUCAGUGGGCCACCAAGAGCGAAGCAAAUAUCGAUGAACCCAUACCCAGGUGUUGUUACAGAAUUUCUAAUGGAAAUACUUCCCUUCAUGCUAUGGUUCAAAGUCCAAGACCCUACCAGGUCUACUAUUUUUGUUGCAGUUGAUAGUGAGGUGCAAAAGAUCAUCCAAGCAACAACAACAAAAUCUCAUAAACUAGACCUUGAUCCAGCAAUUUCACUCAGUUAAUUGUAUAAAUUAGGUGUUUGAGCUCACAAAUGGAAAAAUGAUGUGACCAUUUCGUUUUAGAAAAUAAGUUAACUACCAAGUGCAA